rnacentral:lncRNA from 1 species
GUUUCACUUAAAAUAUAAGAUGGAAUACAGAUGUUUAACACUCACCCAACUGGAAAUCUGCCCCCCUUAUUUGUAAUUUGCUUUUUCUUAAUGAUUUUUUGAUACAUUUUUGUCCAAACAUGCCCUUUGGUGGGUGAAGUUUGGACAAAAAGCUUAGAUGGACACAGAAAUUUUUAAUCUUCGGUUAACUUGCCCCACUAUUGAGGUAAAACUCUUCUGAGUACUCUGCCCUAUGCCUUGUAACUUAUGAUUUUUCCACUCUGGCUGGUGGGAAUAGGCAGCAUUCCUGGCCCUGUGUAAGUGUUAGUGAUUGCUCCCUCUGAUUUUCUCAGGUUGUUCUUUUCCUGGUUUUGGGUAGAUUUUUUUCACAUGAUGCACUAAUCAGUGCUCUGCUGAAUAUUCAAGAGAAACCUUCUGCAGAUCUUUGGAGUUCUCCCUUUGUGCAGCUCUCUCCUCUAGGUACCACGCCCUGUGUGCAGCUCCCCACUCUGUGUACUCCGCCCUGUGUGCAGCUCCCUUCUCUUGUGUACUCCACCCUGUGUGCAGCUCCCUCCUCUGUGUACUCCGCCCUGUGUGCAGCUCCCUCCUCUUGUGUACUCCACCCUGUGUGCAGCUCCCUCCUCUUGUGUACUCCGCCCUGUGUGCAGCUCCCUCCUCUGUGUACUCCGCCCUGUGUGCAGCUCCCUCCUCUGUGUACUCCGCCCUGUGUGCAGCUCCCUCCUCUGUGUACUCCACUCUGUGAACUCUGGCCUCUUUGACAUUUGUGGAGUUCCUGCUCAAUCUCCUUAACUCAAGGAGACUGCCAGUCUCUGCCUACAGGAUAUUUCAAUGAAUACUUACUUUUUAUGGCAAAUACUAGAAAACCACUUGUUAUGUCUUUUCUCUACAGCUUUCCAUCUAGAAAUAUAACCAAAUGACCUAUUACAAUGCCUCGUUUCAUGUCUGGUCACCUGUAAGUGUCAGAAAGUGCCUCCUCACCUGUAAUUUUUACUGAUUAGUUGUAGUUCCACCACUGUGACAUAUAGGCAAGCCUUGUGACGAACCUUCCUCUGUACUUCUAAAGGCCUGAUUUCAGUUCCUUUUCCAUCUAGGUUGUUCUUCACUGAAAUACAAC